UUGUUUUUUAGCAAGAAGCCUGAAAAAAAGACCAACUUCUAAAGGCAAAACUUACAGAAUAGAUAUCAACGUUCCAGCAGCCUGUCCCUGCUCCAGCUCCACACACCUGGUAUGCAGUUUCAUAUUUUCGUCGGUGGAUUGCGCUGGCUCCUGAACUCUGAUCCCCAAGUCCCCAGUAGCUCCUGAGUGACGUGAAGCCAGAUUUCCAUGGACUUCCUUCAAAUGGGUGAGGCACCAAACGAGUCUGCUAAUUGUUUGAGCCCGGGACCUCACUAUACGGAACACCCUUUAAACUGCAGUUUUCUUUCCGCACUUGUCCACGACAGCUGCCCAUCCACUCUCUUAAGUAUCAGUGCAGCUUCUUGGCAUGGUCUGGCACAUUUUCAUAACCAACAGAGUCAAGACUUGGCUGUUCAUGCGUGAUUAGUCUGGGGAAAUUGUGUGCCAAUCCGGUUGUUAGUAACUUCCCAGCAUUGAUGAUCCUCUCCAGGGGUGUCUUAAGAGAGGAGGGACCCCGUGUGCAGGCUCCGGGUGGGCCCCUUCCUCUCCACGGCGCCAUAGGCUCCGGCAUUGUGUCGGAGUCUACUGUGCAUGCGCCGGUCUCCAGAAACAUGGUGACCGCCAUGUUCCGGAGACAAAAUUUGCACAUGCGCAGCGACCAUUUUUUAAGUGAUUUUUUGCCGCAAGGGCUGCUGCUGCAGUGUCCGACGCUGGACUCUGGAGAGGUGAGUAUUAAAAUAUGGGUGCAAUGUAUGCAGUGUGGGCCCUCCCUAGACCCAGGGGCCUGUGUGCGCGGCACACAUUGCACCCAUAAUAGAAACGCCUAUGAUCCUCUCACAGAUCAUUGGCUACAGCCAACAUUUUCAAUUUUGAGUGCACAGCAGAGGUGAUGAUAAUACUAAAGUGCUAGAUUUAUCAAGCCUUGGAGAUUGAUACAUUAAACGGUGACAAAGUAUCAACCACCUCCUAACUGCCAUGUUACAGGCUGUGUUUGAAAAAUAAAAGAAGCUGAUUGGUUGGUACUUUAUCACCGUGCAAUUUAUCACUCUUCAAGACUUGAUCUAUUUUGAUCUCAUGUUUUUUAGAACGUGUUUUGCACUCUAGUUGGGAUUUGGAAUUUAAAAGUGUGAAAAUUGUAUUUGUGAUCGCAAAGCAUUGUUUAAAACAUUA